CCCCUUGUGCUCCAUUUUACCAUAAUCUACGGAUUUGGAGUUAUAACCCUUGUAUUUCAUCUUUUUCUUCCUUUUGUAUUCCAUUUUUGUCCGGGAUGCCUAGUCUUUGCUCUAUCCUCAUGCCAACGUCGCUGAUAUGGGCUAAAUGAAAAAGCUCUUAAUCGAGAAACUUUGCAAAUGGUUGACAUAGUUGUUACUAGCUGAGUUGUAGUUUAUCUGCACUCCAAUCGGGUGCUACAAAGAGAUCUUAAGGGGACUUUGGACUUGCAAAACUACUCAAUAUAGAAGACCUUGCUUCAUCAUCAUCGCUGAAGUUUUUAAACAUGCAGACUAUAUUAAAGAAGAGAGAGGCCAGCAGAAAGAUGUCGGGUCAACUGCUGUCCUAUUAGGGCAUCGUCUCUUUGUUGCUAAUGUUGAAUAUUCCAGAGUAGUUGCAUCUAAAGCUGGUUCAUUAUGAGAUACUACU